rnacentral:rRNA from 1 species
UACGUAGGGUGCGAGCGUUGUCCGGAAUUAUUGGGCGUAAAGGGCUCGUAGGCGGUUUGUCGCGUCGGGAGUGAAAACUCAGGGCUUAACCCUGAGCCUGCUCCCGAUACGGGCAGACUAGAGGUAUGCAGGGGAGAACGGAAUUCCUGGUGUAGCGGUGAAAUGCGCAGAUAUCGGGAAGAACACCCGUGGCGAAGGCGGCUCUCUGGGACGGUACUGACGCUGAGACGCGAAAGCGUGGGGAGCGAACAGG